rnacentral:rRNA from 1 species
UACCAGCACCCCGAGUGGUCGGGGCGUUUAUUGGGCCUAAAGCAUCCGUAGCCGGUCCUACAAGUCUUCCGUUAAAUCCACCUGCUUAACAGAUGGGCUGCGGAAGAUACUAUAGGGCUAGGAGGCGGGAGAGGCAAGCGGUACUCAGUGGGUAGGGGUAAAAUCCUCUGAUCCAAUGAAGACCACCAGUGGCGAAGGCGGCUUGCCAGAACGCGCUCGACGGUGAGGGAUGAAAGCUGGGGGAGCAAACCGG